AGCUUUGAGUUCAGUCUGCUGGGAUCUAGGGCCCCUUUCUUUUCACUACACUAAGGCAGCUGAAAUGAGUAGAGGGGAGAAAAAAGAAGAUUUGAACUGAUCUAAAAUCAGCAGGUCUGUCACCUGCCAAAUGAAGGGUCUGGGCCAGAGAAAAGGAUGUCAGUUCGUGGGGUUGGACAGCUUCAGAGAGAACUUGUUCUACUGAAGGAGAUCUGCCUCAGAUCCGUGUCACUUCUUAGAGGUGCACUCACCGAGUAAUUCAAGCUCCCUGGGUAAAGUUCAAGCCAGGCUGGUUGAGAGUUCAAGACCAGCCUAGGGGUUUGCUGUCCUAAGUAACAGUCAGUUCCAACCCCCAACUGCUGCC